rnacentral:lncRNA from 1 species
CCAUCCUCUGUUCCUCUGUUACCGCUCAAGGGUUCGUGCAACUGCAGUUGUGAGCGGGUUUUUUUAUUUUCUUUUCGCUGCAAUUAGGGCCUGCUUCGUGUCGCUUUGUUUGUUUCUGUGGAAUUUCGUGCAGAAAACAGAAAGAAAAGAUAGCGCUUAGCAGCAGCUGUGAGCAAUUUCGCAGAUAGCAAGAAGCUAGUACGAAGAUGCCGGCUUGUCUAGCAUUUUUUUUGUAGGCAAUAGGAACAAGUUCCUCUUAUUCCUAUGGAACAAUGUGUAGUGUAGUUGAGGUGGGUGACUGCAAUAGAAUAGGAAGACUCCAUACCAAGUCUUGGUACCCAACUUAUCUUUUGCUAUUUAACCUUUUUCUCUUAUUAUGUAUAUAUAUGCUGUCAACUUGGGUAGAGAAUGAACCAUAUUUUAAACAGAAUGUUGUCAUUGUAUUAGGUGAUGGGAGCGUGUAGGAAAUUAGGUAUGCUUAUAUAUGUAUAUUCAUUCAUGGGUGGAACAGCAAAAAGACAAUCAAUGCCGGCAGUUCAAUAUGAAAUAUAGAUAGCUAUGUAUGUAGUGGCUAGUUAUCCCAUGCCUCCAUGGUUGAGCUUCCUGUUGCCUUUCCAUGCUUGAGCUUCCUGUUGCCUUUCCAUGCUUGAGCUUCCUGUUGCCUUUCCAUUGUCACCAUCCAUUGGUUGUCAUUUCUUAUUCCCCUCGAGGCAAUUUCAACCACGAGAAAGAGACAGGGAGGGUAAAGUAAGCAGCCGGCCGAGACUUGAAACUCUAGCGUCCUUUUAAAUACGCCACGGGCACUUAUAAGUUUUCACAUCCAUUCACAUGACAUUUCGUUGCGCCAGUGCCGUGAAGGCCACGAAGCAACCAGCAUGAGUUCUUAAGCCGAGUCUCGUUUUUAUAAUUUUGCUCCAUGGGAUGCACUGCUGGCACGUGGUUAAUUUACUGCAUCUCAUCCAUUGGGAGCACCAAUUGGCAGCCAGUGAUCAGGUCUAUAUAUUUUUUAAGAUAAAGAAUAACAUGCUGUUUGAGAAUUUAUCCAGCUGGUUAAGUACAAUUGCCAUCAAAUUGAGUGAUAUACAUAACAACAGAGGAAGCCAUGCCAGCUCAAUUUGCCUGGUACGACACCCUCGCCCGGAAACCCAACAGUUGAGUUAUUAUUUUUUAUCAGAAAAGUAGUAGGUUGUCAAAGGAUGCUGCAGCUGCACAUUGAGGCUGUGAAAGGUAACCAUGUGAGAACCGGCUGGCGGCUAGAAAACAAUAUUUCAUUCAAGCUAGCUUGCUUGAUUUUGUCAUGGCCUAUCAUGUUCCUCGCUGACGACAAUGAGGUGCCGGUUGGCCUGCCAACCCCUUCGUUUUCUUAUCUGCGUGAUGGGUGCAGCCCAACAACUACUAGCCUACAGUUUACAUCAGUUCCAGAUCAGAUGUGGCAGUCAAUGGUUAGUUUGCCCUCGCAACUCAAACCAACACAAUAUCUUCUCCGGUAAUCGGUGUCCCUCGCCGGCAUCAGCUCCACGCGUGCCAACACCAGCAGGCCCUUUGCCGUCGUCAAC